AACGAACGCUGGCGGCAUGCCUAACACAUGCAAGUCGAACGAGACCUUCGGGUCUAGUGGCGCACGGGUGCGUAACGCGUGGGAACCUGCCCUUAGGUUCGGAAUCACUCCCCGAAAGGGGUGCUAAUACCGGAUAAUGUCUUCGGACCAAAGAUUUAUCGCCUUUGGAUGGGCCCGCGUUGGAUUAGCUAGUUGGUAGGGUAAAAGCCUACCAAGGCGACGAUCCAUAGCUGGUCUGAGAGGAUGAUCAGCCACACUGGGACUGAGACACGGCCCAGACUCCUACGGGAGGCAGCAGUGGGGAAUAUUGGACAAUGGGCGAAAGCCUGAUCCAGCAAUGCCGCGUGAGUGAUGAAGGCCUUAGGGUUGUAAAGCUCUUUGACCCGGGAUGAUAAUGACAGUACCGGGAGAAUAAGCUCCGGCUAACUCCGUG
rnacentral:rRNA from 1 species